rnacentral:lncRNA from 1 species
GGGAAUAUCAACUAAGACAUUAAACCAAGCGAUUAUCGAACAUUAACAGUGAAUCAAGAUGAAAUAGAUACAUUCAUGAGAGGGAGAGAAAGAACCAACAGAGAGUUUCAAUUCCCAAAUGAAACGCCAACUAAAACGAGUUAAGAUCAAAAUAAGUUUACCUUUCGGGGAGCAGCGAACUUGGGACAGCCAAGCUGGAACGAGCUCUUCCACCACACGACCACGAACANNN